UGGGGAAUAUUGCACAAUGGAGGGAACUCUGAUGCAGCGACGCCGCGUGAACGAAGAAGGCUUUCGAGUCGUAAAGUUCUUUUAUAUGGGAAGAUAAUGACGGUACCAUAAGAAAAAGCCCCGGCUAACUACGUGCCAGCAGCCGCGGUAAUACGUAGGGGGCUAGCGUUGUCCGGAAUCACUGGGCGUAAAGGGUUCGCAGGCGGAAAUGCAAGUCAGGUGUAAAAGGCAGUAGCUUAACUACUGUAAGCAUUUGAAACUGCAUAACUUGAGAAGAGUAGAGGUAAGUGGAAUUUUUAGUGUAGCGGUGAAAUGCGUAGAUAUUAAAAAGAAUACCGGUGGCGAAGGCGACUUACUGGGCUCAUUCUGACGCUGAGGAACGAAAGCGUAGGUAGCAAACAGG
rnacentral:rRNA from 1 species